CAGAAGUCUUCCUUCUAGCUCACUGGCUAGAAACUGAACAACUUUUUAAAAUCUUCCCUCCUCUUUCCAUUCAGCUACCUCCACCCCUUUUUUUGCUAGCCUCUCCAAAUAGUUACAUUUCUACAGCAGUAGCUACAUUACCAUGGCGACACACAACCAAUCAGAAGUAGCUAACUCCUGCCUACCUUUGCCAUAGAACUAACAUUAAAUAACAUAGACAAAAAUCCCCAUUAAAGUAAGGUUUUCCAUUACACCAGGAAUUAUGAAGGUACACUAUUUUUACUCCUCUGUGAUGAGGGAGUUUCCUGUGGUUAGCAGCAGCUAAGUACAAUGACUGCUCAUGGCAGGAAUGGAGUGGCAGAUUAUUUUCAUAGCUUGGACCUCCGUCGUCUUCUUGACGGACAUUAUUUACCUACUCUGGAUUGACGCUGGACUGACUGACUGACUACGACCUUGGACUAUCCUUUCUCUGGCUAUCGGUGGAAUUCGUGGAACCUUAGACGCCUACACCUGGCUAUCGACCUCGGACCGGAUUGGGACCCCCCUGACCGCUGCAACCCUGAUUGAUGUAUUUGGACCCGGAGUUCGCCCGCUGCACGGAGGAGUAACAACUUAGUUACUCAACCACAGCUGUUGAGUAGCAGAGAGGAAUCUGCUACCAGUAUUUAUGUUUAAUUGAAUCCUUGUUUACCAGCUUUUGUUUGUUUAAAGUGCCAGGCUGAAGUAAGCAUUUUUGGUUUAACCCGGAUUAAACUCCUGUUUAAUCCGGUUUAUCUUUUGAACCGUUUUUGAGUGACUUUUCAUAUUGAAGGCGAGUGUUUGCCUAGCCCUUUGUUUUUUACGAGCAUUUUUUGGUUCUGUAUCUUUAAUAAACUGUGUUGAAUCUUAUCUGGUGGC